GGUUUCUCUAACUACUUCUGAUUAGAUUGCAAGGUUAGUGCUGUCCACGUCAACAAUUGGGGGCUGUCCCGAUUGGAGAGUAGACUCGCCUUUGGGCUGUAGUACCGUGCCGAGCAGGCCUGAGAUUCGAGAUUUCUUGCAUAAAGCAACUUGCUGAUGUAGCAUGGAGUCAGCCACUUCUGCUUUGAGAUUACAUUGUUUACAUACAAUCGGUGCGAUACUCUCUUCUAUCCUUGUUGAUGUUUAAGCGAGUCUUGUAUCAGCUGUCUCUUUUGCCUGUAGUGGUUUCAUUGCAUUUAUAAU